rnacentral:rRNA from 1 species
CCUGGCAGUACUGUAGCGCGGUGGUCCCACCUGACCCCAUGCCGAACUCAGAAGUGAAACGCCGUAGCGCCGAUGGUAGUGUGGGGUCUCCCCAUGCGAGAGUAGGGAACUGCCAGGC